UUGUGACGAUGUUGAGUCCUCAGGAUGGAACUAACUCUCACCCUUUGUCCUGCAGCUGAGGCUCACUGCCCUCCCCCCGGUGGGCAGUGAGUCAGUGGGUU
rnacentral:lncRNA from 1 species